rnacentral:rRNA from 1 species
UACGUAGGGUGCGAGCGUUAAUCGGAAUUACUGGGCGUAAAGCGUGCGCAGGCGGUUAUGCAAGACAGAGGUGAAAUCCCCGGGCUCAACCUGGGAACUGCCUUUGUGACUGCAAGGCUAGAGUACGGCAGAGGGGGAUGGAAUUCCGCGUGUAGCAGUGAAAUGCGUAGAUAUGCGGAGGAACACCAAUGGCGAAGGCAAUCCCCUGGGCCUGUACUGACGCUCAUGCACGAAAGCGUGGGGAGCAAACAGG